CAGACCUGAAUUCAAAUCUCAGCCUUCCACUGAUUAGCCCUGCGUCCCUGGAAAAGGUUUCUAGUUAUUGUUUUGUUUACCUUUCUGAGUCUUAUUUCCCUUUUAAUAAAGGAGGGGUCCUUUGAUCAAAGUACUUAGUACAUGAAGUAUGUUAUGGGCGCUCAGCAAUAGUAUUCUGUAUCACUGUAAUUAUCGUUUCUGAUCACACCAAGUCACACACAAAGGUACAGUCAGGAAUUUUCAAGUCACUGACUGAUGUGCAUGAGUUUAGUCCUAUGAACUUGGCUUUUGUUUAAAUACAAUAUACCAACCAAAAAUGACUUAUGGGAAUAGAUCUUUGGGAAUAAAUUAGAUUAUAAUAUUGAUAACCCUUUAGCAAGAAGUGGAGUGAAACUACUUUUAUACACCAUUACAUGGGUCCCCCUCCAUGUUUGAAGUGCAGUGAAAGGCUGAUCACACUCGAGUGGUUAACCUAAAAUGUAGGUGUUAGUGCUGUCACACAACAGAUUUUCCUGUGUACCAACAUUAUUGUCAAAUUAUAUAAAGUAAUUAGCACAGAAAGUAUGAUCAUGCAUCAUAUAUUUGUCUAAGAUACAAAAAGGAAAUAAAUUGUCUAAAGAAAAAGAGAGGGAAAUAAAGAAUAAAUCUGAAAAUGCCAAUCAGCAGGAAGAUCUGUAUCUUUCAGAGUUAAAUUACAAUACAUUCAGCAAUUAAAAUACAGAAUUAAGAAUGGAAUAAGAGAUUGGUGCCUAGAAAGAAGGAAGACUUAAGAGAUUUUAAAAUGGUAUCAAGACAAGAAUUUGGAAGUCACAACUGGUAGCCCAUGAGUGUGAUCUGCCCUAUGUACACAGUGAUUUUUUAAAAAAUUUGUAUUGGUUGCCAAUGUUGAAAUAUUGGUUGGACUUCACUUGGAAAGACUGAGUGCCUAGGAGCAUCAUUCUCUGGGGCAACCCUAGCCUGAAGUAGAGUCAAGACUGACACACCCCCAAUUUGCUAAGGUCCCAUGGAUACUUCUAACAGGUAUGCAGCUGCCUUCUCAUAUGCUUAGCUGCAGGACUCCUGGCUCAGAAGAAAAGGAUGUAUGGAUGAGGGUAGAAUAAAUAUAAGGGUACUUUAAAUAAACUAUUUUCUAAUGACAAGAUCUAGGACAUAAGGGAAAAAAAUGUCCAACUUUCUUAUUUUUUGCCAGUCCUCAGUGCACACUAGAAAUAUUCUUUAUGGAGGGACCUGUAUAAAAUAACUAAUAUUUAUGUACAAUAUAUACACUAUUUAUUCAUGUUAUUUUUGUGUAAGUAGUCUUUUUAAUCUUUACGCAAACACUCCGAAUAAGGUGUUGCUAAUGUUAUUUUCCCAUUUUACAGAUAGCCUGUAAAGUACAUUGAUUAGGUGUCAUGCUGAGGCCGUGAGUGAUAGAAUAAGGCUUAGAAAACAGUGCUUAAACCUUUGUAUUUAAUGUCCUUCCUACUUCCUCACUACUACCUUAGUAAUUUCUAGUGUAGUUAAAACAUGAAGGCUUGGGGUGUAACUCAGUGGUAGAGCAUGUGCCUAGCAUGCACAAGGCCCUGGUUCAGUCCCCAGUGCCAUACAGACACACACCCAAACACACAAAGAAAAAAACAAAACUUAUCCUUAAAAAAACCCUGAACUUAAAGUUUAAAAAUAAAGACAUUUUCCUGACAGAUAUAACUUAAGAUGCAAAUGUUUAGGGCUAUAAUAACCUAUUUGGAAAAAGUUCACUGAGUGACAUGGAAGCAUAUCACAAAUACAGAAUUAUAGCACAGAAUUUUAUGCUUUAUAAUUUUGUGGAAUUUAGGGUUCUUUUAACUGUAUAAAACUAUACUAUACACAAAAUGCAUAUCCCAUACAUACAUAGUUCAAUGUAUUUUUCACAAACUGAACACACGUUACAAACUAAUCAGCAUCCAAAUCAAGAAAAAGCAUACUAUCAACUCCCCAGAAGCUCCCUUCCAGUCUUUUACCAUUCCCCCCCCCACAAGGGUAACCACUAUGCUGAUUUCUGACACCAAUCUCUAGUUCUUAAAAUAUG
rnacentral:lncRNA from 1 species